UUAAUACCCGAUGGGAAACGUCUUUUUGAAAGGGCUUUUCCGUCAGCCCAAGUAAAACCCGAUGGGAAAAGUAUCCCACUUUUUCCACUAUUUCCAACUCGUUUUUCCACAGCGUCGUCCUCCUUCCCCGUCCUCAACCGUACCUCCGCUCCGACCUCCCUCCGCCAUCGUCUACCGAACCAACCACCGCCUGCCUGUUGCCCCCUCGACUGAACCACCGUCAACGUCGCUCGACCGGACCGUGCGCGACCAAGACCACCGUCAACACGUUCAGCCGGACGGCGCGCGAACCAAGACCGCCGUCAACGCGUCUUCAACAUUUUCCAGCCAGCCACCAUUCCCAUUCCAGGUAUCGUAUUCAACUCAAUAUGCAGCACCUUAUUCACGUCACAACCACGCCUACAACCAUCAUAAUAAAUCAACACCGAGCAGCUUCAACGCUACAAACGUCAACAAACCCAACAUCGAACACCGAACGUAGUGACACCGCGAUUCAACUGCUCGCAACAUACAUCAACGAAACUGUUUUUUCUGAAUCAGAUAUGAGAUGAAGUAGAAAAAGAGAGAGGACCGAAUUUGUGCGUACCUGGUAUUUUUAGCCUCGCCAGAAAACCGUCGGACGUAGCUCCGACGAGGUCAGUACUUUUUGUUCAACAUUUGGUUUGAUAUCAUUGUGUUCCUUACAAAUUACUGAGUAAUAACCCCUUAUUAAUUGUAUGAAACCUUUACUGUACACCAUUUAAUUUCAAAUCUGAAGUUUAGGGUUUAUAAGUUUAAAUGUAAAUUGAUUGAUGUUGAUGUGUUGUUUGAAUUUUGUUGAUAUAAUCAUGGUAAGGACCUGAGAACGAUUCAGAUUUUGUUUUGUUCUCGUAGAGGCUGAGAGAAUUGAAUCGAGUGAAAGAGAGGAAGCAGGGAAACAAAUUCUCUUUCGUUGAAAUUUAUUGUCAACUGCAGUCAUUCAUCUUUAUUUAGGGCUUCAAAUGGUGUUUCUAGUAGCAUUGAGAAUUGUGGAGGAUAUUAUGGUUUUACUUGCGACUUUGGUACAAUGUCUAGCUCUCAUAAAAGCUUAAGUUUUGAGUUAAAGUCAGGAAUGGUUUUAUAAAUUUCUAUAAACAUCCUUUUGUUUGAGCUCUCUCUUCCUUUAAAAAUUAUGCUUCUUAUCAUUGUGUCUUUCCUUUCAUAUUUUUUCUUCUAUUAUUUGUUUGAAAGAAGAUUUUUGCUAAUGACAUGUUACCUAUUAGGUGAAGUAUCUGUGGCUCCUUUUUGAUUUGGUUGUGGGUCCUGAUAAACUUAUGGAAAAUGGGCCUUACAAGUGAGUAGGCUUAUAUAUUUACAAUUUAGUGGCUGGUCUUUUUAUGCUAUAAAAUUAGUUGCUUCUUUUUCUGUUUGUUGUGAAACAGGUAUGUAUUCAGCACUGAAGGUCAUUUAUUGCCUACUACUCCUCAAAUCUUUCUUGUGAGGGAACAUUGUUUAUACUAUGGGGCUUAUUGUAGAAGUGGUGAUUUGAGACAAACUUAAUUUGUGUUCGAGACAGAGAGAGAAAAGCAUGAAUCAGAUGAUAGUAGAUUUUAUGGGAGCUGGACUAAAUCUUCAUACUCCUCAGACUACACUACUUCUGAAGCAAGUGCUUCUUCUAGUUUGAUCAAGGUGGAAUGAUAUUUUGCUCAUAGGGCUCUGUCUCAAUCAAUUGUUUGUUUCUGUAGCAGCUGGUAUUGUGAGUUGUUUUCUUUCUUAUUCAUCGUAGAUUUAUAAAAGAAUAAAAGAAAUGGAUAUGCUGGUUUGGAUGCUAGUUUAAUUGACGAUGAUGCUUUCAAAUUGGAAACUACAUAAGAUACAUAUGAUAUAUGCAUAGUGAUAAAGUUGUGAGGCUUACUAAACUUGCGAAACUUUCGUGUUUAUAUCACUGAAGAAGUCAACGAAGGGGGAAAAUAAAUUUUUGUUUCGAGCUAGUCUUUUAACUUUGGUGUUGUCUGCUGAUGUUAAUUAGUGUUAUUGUUUAUUCUCAGCAAAUGUAAUUUUGGUGUUGUCUUCAGAAGCUACAACUCGUCUUCUCGUGGAUUCAUGUUGGUAUUUCAAGUGCGCUAAAGGACCUAAAUGUUUGGAUAUUUGUUUUGUUAUUUUGUAAUAAUCCACCGUGUGUAAACUUUCUUAUAAUUUUGUAUACUUGUGUAUCUUAGUAAAAUUUGAAGAAUAUAUAUAUAUAUAUAUCUUAGCUAUUUGGUGCAAUGAAAUUAUACCUGGUUAGAAAAAUAUGAAAAUAGUGACCUAAAUGUGAUCGGUUAAAAUAGGAAAAAUAGUUAUUAUACGCUUUAAAGAAGGAAACAUAUUACAUCGGG